GCGCGGGUGGCGGAAUUGGUAGACGCGCCAGACUAAGGAUCUGGUGUCCAUUGCGGACGUGGGGGUUCGACUCCCCCCCUCGCGCACCA
rnacentral:tRNA from 1 species